rnacentral:lncRNA from 1 species
AACCCAGGCACAGGAAGGGCUGACUGUAUGUGACCGGGAGUGGAGGGGGAUCUAUAUAAAUAUUUCCACAAAAUAGCAAAGGGUACUUGGGAUUGGGAGCAUGAACAGAAAUGAAAACAAACCAUUAUAAAUUUAAAGAUGACUGGUUAUCACUUAAAUUUAGUGUCUACAGCUAUUUAUUUAUAAAAUGGUAAUUGUGUUUUAAAACUUUCAAUGGCAACAAGUUACAACAGUAACUUCAGAAUAGCGUUCACUUGAAAACAUUGGGUGAAUGGCCUCUAUAAUUUUUUUAGCUGAAAUGUAUACACCGCCACGCAGUGAGGAAACUUGACUUUAGCACCCUUUUGGUAUUUUUAAUAGAAAAAACAGUGGAGAAGAUUUUCACAUGUCUAGAAAGGUAACAUGUUCAACUUAGGUUUGGCCAAUGCUGAUUCUGAGGACAGUACUACACCCGCAAGCUUCCAAACUACUUCCUGAUUCAUUCAGAUUUUCAUUGGAGAGCUGUCAUCCUGCUACUGACCUCAUUCAACCCAGUUCGGAGUGAGAGAUCAGCGGAUUACCGCGCUAGAGUCAAGAAAACUUUGCUUUUGACUUAUUUACAGCUAGUCACAAUUGAGUGAAGUAUACUCCUGUAAACAAAUUUGGAUUUCUCUCUCUCAAUCUGAUUUCUCCAGAAUGUGGAAACUAUUUGACAUGAGACUUCACAACCUGCUAAAAAUGAGCUUUUCUAAUAAUGUGGGACUUACCCUUCUACAAGUAAACCAUCCUAGUCAUGAGGGAUCAGAUGAAACCUGAGACCAGAGACUCAUUUUCUUCUAAAAUGAUUUCUCCAAAGGAUUUUAAAAAGAAAAAGGUUAAAAUGUGAAAGGAAAAUAAAUCUUGGGACCCCCCAAAUCUCUAAGCUAAAGGGAAAAGUCAAGAUGGGAACUGCUUAGGGCAAACCUGCCUCCCAUUCUUUUCAAAGUCAUCCCUCUGCUCACUAAGAUAAAUGCAUAUCUUACUGUUUCCUUUGGAAAGGCUAAUCAGAAACUCAGAAGAAUGAAACCAUUUGGUUUUUCUUUUAUCUACCUAUCACCUGGAAGCACCCUUCCCACUUCAAGUUGUCCUGCCUUUCUGGACUAAACCAAUGUACAUCUUACGUACAUUGAUUGAUAUCUCAUGUCUCCAUAAAAUGUAUAAAACCAAGCUGUGCCCCCACCCCCUUGGGCACAUGUUGUCAGGACCAGGACCUUGUGAGGCUGCAUCAUGGGCACGUGUCCCUGACUUUGGCAAAAUAAACUUUCUGAAUUGACUGAGACCCGUCUUAGAUAUUUGGGGUUCAUACCCGCUUGGUACUGUGUAGUGAAUGAGUUCUCACAAGAUCUGGUUGUUUAAAAGUGUAUGGCACCACCUACCUGUCUCUCUUCUUCCUGCUCUGGCAAUAUAAGACAUGCCUGCUUCUCCUUGGCCUUCCACCAUGACUGUAAGUUUCCUGAGGCCUCUCCAGAAGCCAAGCAGAUGCCAGAAUCAUGCUUCCUGCACAGCCUGUGGAACUGUGAGCCAAUUAAACUUCUUUUAUUUAUAAAUUACCCAGCCUCAGGUAUUGCUUUAUAGCAGUGCAAGAAUAGACUAAUAUAAGUGUUACAGAUAUUGAGUAGGUAAAAAUCAAUAGGAUUUAGCAGUUGGACCUAGAGACGCAGGAACUGGGGAGAUUUUUUUAAAGAGGUGAUUAGAAGAAUAAUAUUGUCAUCAUGGAAAUUAGAAAGUUAGGUUUAUUGGUGAAAAGUUGGUGAAUAAUCUUCUAGAUAUUUUGAGUUUAAUGUACUAAUGAGGAACAAGUGGAGAUCUCCAUCAUGCACUUGGAAAUUUAGGACUGGAGCUGGGAGACAAGUGGGGCCAGAAAUAAAGGUAUGCUCCUUCUGCUCUCAACCCACCAUGGCCGUUUAGUGGGAUCAGUAGAAUCCCUGCAAGUAAGUGUCUGGAUUUAGCAAAAUAGCAUGGAAGAACAAACUGAUGCCAGAACCUACGAACUGACAGCAUUUAAGGGGUGGGAGGGAAAAAGAAAAAAGCAGAUGUGAAAAGAGAUCAGGAAACUUAGGCAAGUCAAAUAAGAGAAAAUUAUUUCAAGUGUGAACUUCCGUAUAUAACGUCUAUGAUUUAGGCCCAGUUUAUAUCAAGAACUUAAGAAAGAAAAUUGGAAAAAUAAAUAGGGCUUUAUGUAUUUUUAGGACUUAUGAUGAUGAUUAUGAUAUAGAAUGAAAUAAAGUGUGGGUCAGGAGCAGUGGCUCACGCCUGUAAUCCCAGCACUUUGGGAGGCUGAGGUGGUGGAUCACAGGUCAAGAGAUCUAAAUCAUCCUGGCCAGCAUGGUGAAACCCAUCUCUACUAA